GUGCAGCAGUCGCGAAUCCUUCGCAAUGCGGGAAACCGCGACGAGGGGACUCCCAGUGCCUACGCUCAGCGUAGGCUGUUCCCGAGCCUAGAAAGCUCGGGGAGUAAGGGCUGGGUAAGACGGGUGCCAGCCGCCGCGGUAAUACCCCGCAGCCCGAGUGGUGGCCACUAUUAUUGGGCCUAAAGCGUCCGUAGCCGGCCCGGUAAAUGCCUGGGUAAAUCGUGAGGCCUAACCUCACGAAUUCCGGGUAGACUGCCGGGCUAGGGACCGGAGGAGGGAGAGGGGUACUCCAGGGGUAGGGGUGAAAUCCUGUAAUCCCUGGAGGACCACCGGUGGCGAAGGCGCUCUCCUAGGACGGGUCCGACGGUGAGGGACGAAAGCCAGGGGAGCGAGCCGGAUUAGAUACCCCUGU
rnacentral:rRNA from 1 species